rnacentral:rRNA from 1 species
GGAGGUCACGGCGAGACGAGCCGUUUAUCAUUACGAUAGGUGUCAAGUGGAAGAUAGCCUUCAACAAAAAAAAGUGGAAGGUGGCCUUCAACAAAAAAAGUGGAAGGUGGCCUUCAACAAAAAAAGUGGAAGGUGGCCUUCAACAAAAAAAAAGUGGAAGGUGGCAGUAAUGUACGCAGCUGAGGCAUCCUAACAGACCGGGAGACUUGAAC